rnacentral:rRNA from 1 species
AGAGUUUGAUCAUGGCUCAGGACGAACGCUGACGGUGUGCUUUAGGCAUGCAAGUCGAACGAGAAAGCCCUUCGGGGUGAGUAAAGUGGCGAACGGGUGAGUAACACGUGGGCAACCUGCCCCUCGCAGGGGGACAACCGGAGGAAACUCCGGCUAAUACCCCGUACGCUUGUUGGAUCGCAUGGUCCGGCAAGGAAAGGUAGCUUCGGCCAUCCGGCGAGGGAUGGGCCCGCGUUGCAUUAGCUAGUUGGUGGGGUAACGGCCUACCAAGGCGACGAUGCGUAGCUGGUCUGAGAGGAUGAUCAGCCACACUGGGACUGAGACACGGCCCAGACUCCUACGGGAGGCAGCAGCCAGGAAUCUUGGGCAAUGGGCGAAAGCCUGACCCAGCAACACCGUGUGGGCGAUGAAGGCCUUAGGGUCGUAAAGCCCUGUUGAUAGGGACGAAGGGCGAAGGGUUAAUAGCCCCUAGCUUGACGGUACCUUUCGAGGAAGCCCCGGCUAACUACGUGCCAGCAGCCGCGGUAAUACGUAGGGGGCGAGCGUUGUCCGGAAUUAUUGGGCGUAAAGAGCGUGUAGGCGGUUCGGUAAGUCUGUCGUGAAAUCCUGGGGCUCAACCCUGGGCGUGCGAUGGAUACUGCCGGGCUAGAGGGUGGUAGAGGCGAGUGGAAUUCCCGGUGUAGCGGUGAAAUGCGCAGAUAUCGGGAGGAACACCAGUAGCGAAGGCGGCUCGCUGGGCCACACCUGACGCUGAGACGCGAAAGCUAGGGGAGCGAACAGGAUUAGAUACCCCCGUAGUCC